rnacentral:rRNA from 1 species
UGCAAGUCGAACGCUGAAGCCUGCAGCUUGCUGUGGGUGGAUGAGUGGCGAACGGGUGAGUAACACGUGAGUAACCUGCCCCUGACUCUGGGAUAAGCCCGGGAAACUGGGUCUAAUACCGGAUAUGACCAUUCUCCGCAUGGAGUGGUGGUGGAAAGUUUUUCGGUUGGGGAUGGGCUCGCGGCCUAUCAGCUUGUUGGUGGGGUGAUGGCCUACCAAGGCGACGACGGGUAGCCGGCCUGAGAGGGCGACCGGCCACACUGGGACUGAGACACGGCCCAGACUCCUACGGGAGGCAGCAGUGGGGAAUAUUGCACAAUGGGGGAAACCCUGAUGCAGCGACGCCGCGUGGGGGAUGACGGCCUUCGGGUUGUAAACCUCUUUCAGUAGGGAAGAAGCCUUCGGGUGACGGUACCUGCAGAAGAAGUACCGGCUAACUACGUGCCAGCAGCCGCGGUAAUACGUAGGGUACAAGCGUUGUCCGGAAUUAUUGGGCGUAAAGAGCUCGUAGGUGGUCUGUCACGUCUGCUGUGGAAACGCAAGGCUCAACCUUGCGCGUGCAGUGGGUACGGGCGGACUAGAGUGCAGUAGGGGAGUCUGGAAUUCCUGGUGUAGCGGUGAAAUGCGCAGAUAUCAGGAGGAACACCGGUGGCGAAGGCGGGACUCUGGGCUGUAACUGACGCUGAGGAGCGAAAGCAUGGGGAGCGAACAGGAUUAGAUACCCUGGUAGUCCAUGCCGUAAACGUUGGGCACUAGGUGUGGGGUCCAUUCCACGGAUUCCGCGCCGUAGCUAACGCAUUAAGUGCCCCGCCUGGGGAGUACGGCCGCAAGGCUAAAACUCAAAGGAAUUGACGGGGGCCCGCACAAGCGGCGGA